rnacentral:rRNA from 1 species
UACGGAGGGGGCGAGCGUUAUUCGGAAUUAUUGGGCGUAGAGGGCGCGUAGGCGGCCUUGUAAGUCAAAGGUGAAAUCCCUCGGCUCAACUGAGGAACUGCCUUUGAAACUGCAAGGCUUGAGGCCGGGAGGGGGUAGCGGAAUUCCCAAUGUAGCGGUGAAAUGCGUAGAUAUUGGGAGGAACACCAGUGGCGAAGGCGGCUACCUGGACCGGUUCUGACGCUGAGGCGCGGAAGCCAGGGGAGCGAACGGG